UGUUUGUGUUUGGAAAACUUGUGUUUGUGUUUGUUUCUUUUUGAAUUUUUUACUUUCGAUUUGUUUGUGUAUGAGGGUUUGGUAAGGACAAGUCAAAACUUACCCGAAAGAUUACAAAAGGGUUUACAAACAAGUUUGAUGGGCUAUAUUACAGUUGGGGUUGUGUUUCUAAUGAAAAAAGAGAAAGACACUUCUUGGAAUUUGCGAAAACACACACCUGGGAUCCCUCACUAACCAGUUUUCCAAGGAAGCAUCUCAGCGAGAUAAAGUGAAACCGACUUGGAUUGAGAACAAUAUUUGGAAAGAAAUGUGUGACUAUUGGAACACAUAAGAAGCCAUGGCAAAAAGUGCAACCACUUCAGCAGCUCGAAUGUCUGACCGUAAUAGUCUUGGCCCCACAAGCAUGUAUCAGGGCAGAAGUCUUACUUACAAAUCGAACAAGAGAUGGAAGUGGAAUUGGGAAGACUGCCAACUAUUCUUGAAGUUUUCUGCAGGACUCAUACCAAAAAAGAUGGUAAUUUUGUGGAUAAGAACGCGCAAGCAGUUCAUUAGACAUAUAAGAAAAAAUGGAAGCUAAGUUGGCUGCUCUGGAUAAUGAUGAGUCUUCUGAUGGUACUUCACGUUGAUUAGAGCUAUCUCAUGAGGGGGAUGAUGAG